rnacentral:lncRNA from 1 species
UGGGCCACUUCCACCGAGGACUUGUGAAGUGUACAUUCUACUAAAGUGUCAUUGUCAUUGUGUACCUCCUCAAUUACCAGGCAAGUUAAAGAGCAUGAUGAAUACUUGCAGUACAAUGGUAUAAAUCCUUCUGAUGUCUUGCAUGAAAAACAUGCAGUAGCAUUUAGUACCUUCUUUGACAUUGAUUCCUGGGUGUAUGAGUUGCUCCUCUGAUUUUAGAUCACAUUUCUUUUCAUCAUUCAGUAUAUCCACAUUGAUAUUGACACUUUUUAUUUCAGUAAUACACACAUGACGCA